AGAGCCCUAGGCUUUCCAGGGACUACGACUCACCUUACCUUCUGGACCGUUCACAAAGUGGCAUUUGUCUCCCACCACUUCUAAGAAGAAAAGGCCUAGAAGUUCAUAAAAAGGAGUGCCAUUGGCUGCUUCUGUGGGCUCCAGCUCACCCACCUCCUGAGAGCCAUUUGGAAAGAGAAGAGGACUAUGUAAGGACUCCAGUCACUGAAAAGUUAAGUACUGAGCUUUUCCUUGCUGUUGUUGACCCAUGCUUGUUAUGUAGAUCACAGACCUACAGAUGGACACUUUGGUCCUGGCUCUGUGCUGACCAGACCCUGCCCUGGGUCCCUAACCCUUGCUCACCACCCUCCUUCCCUCUAGGACCCAUAGCCUUUCUGGAACUAUAAUCCUGGCUUUACCCUAGGGUCUUGGGUACAACCUCUGUCCUGCUUGUCAUACGGAAUUUGCUGAUACUUUUACUAUCUACUCUAACACCAGGCCUGGGCAGUCUCAAACAGGCCUGUCCUGCCACUGAAAAACUCUUAGCCUUAUAAUCUUUGAGAUUUUGUCAUAAAAGUGUUUAAUUGAUACCAAGAAGUUUGUAGUUCCUUAAAUAGUGCUCUAUAGUAUGUCUUUAAAACUGUAUGCAAAAGAAGUUAACAGUUAUUGUAUUAUGUUUUAUAGAAAUGUGUGCACUUCUACCUGACACUUGAGUACUCACUCCUAAGGACAUCUUUCCUGUUGACCUUUACCAUCACAUCUACUUGUGGAGGAGAAACACUUUAAAGGAAAACCACCUGUCUCCUCAAGGCUAGCCUCACAAAUCUAUGAAGUGACACUGAGUGCCACAGCUUAAUCUCUCACGUGUGACCAAGAGAGCACCAGAGAGGCGUAUUUCCAGGGGAUGAAGUGCCUGGCAUUUCAUCACGUUGGGUAUUCUCCCCUCUAUCUACUAUGAUAGCUGGCAAAGAGUAGCAUGAGCCCCCUGCCUUUUCCCAGUAAGGAAAUCUCCUACAAGAAUCCAUUUAGCCCCAUUUCCUCAGAAAUGUUUGUUCCAUUUAUUUAAAGUUUUGUUUGUGUUAUGAUGGUUCUGCCACAUGACCAGAAACUGAGCACUGUUUGCAUAGACGGACCAUAAUACAGGAAACAGAUAAAAUGUAUGAUAGCCAAUUUGACAUAUAUUUCAAAUAACAGAUAUUUAUAUGGUUGUUAUUUCACUUCUGGAUAAUUAGAUGAUUUAUGCAUGUUAUAAUGAUCAGCAUUGUUUUAUAGUUCUAAAACCCAAGCAUGCACGGAGUCAUCAUGGAGCAAGAGAAGAAUUUAGUAAGUCAGAGGCUACUUGAGUUCCUUUUAAAAGCCCUUGGAUAAUCUAGACAACUAAACUUCUCUGUUUCAGCCGUGGCUGCUAAAGGCCUCAAUCCUCCGCCUCCCAGGCCACACACACAGAGGCACGAAUGGACACGCUGGCCUGAGGUCAUUCUUGGCUUAGGACAGACCAACCCAAGUGGUUUUUGGCCUGUGUAGAUGAGUCAAGAUCGGAUAAAGCUGUCCUGAUUCUUCAGCUCCUUGCAGGAAACUAGUGCAGAGCUACAAAUUAUCUCUUCUCUCCUCACCUAAGGCAUAGUUUGUGUAAAAGAAAUGAGCUGCAGAGUACAUUUAAAGGAAAGAAGGCCCCCUGGCUACACUAGAUUAAAUUUGGCACAUUAGAAAUACAUUGAGGUUAUAAAUAAAUACCAUAAAAGUGCAGGGGAAGAAGAUAGAAAUGUGGGGUCCUUUUUUUAUUUAUAUCUAGCAGUUUUGAGACCCGGUUGUGUUCCCCACUGUGAUUCAGACAUGUGCAGCAUAUCUGGUAGAUUGUCGGGGUGUGGAAGCUACACGUGCAUGUUUUCUGAGUUGACAGAGAACCCGAUUAGAAAAGACAGGAUGUGUUAAUAUCAUAGACCCUGCCCAUCCACCUUUUCCCUUCUCCCCAGCGCUAUAGAUUCAAGCCCCAGGAAAGAACUACAGGCGAACACAGAUGGAGAUAUUUUCAUGAGUUAUUCUGUGAGAUAUUGAGGCCCCGGCAGCUUACUUUGAUUUCCAGGCAAGGCAAUGUGACACAGGGUCAGGGGGCAUCCCAUUCUGUCCACCACUUCCAGGUGAUGGCAAUUUGGGGAGCACUGGUAGGUAGCACCCUGGGGUGGACCUCCUGGUUCCCAUGGAAGGCAGCAGCAGCAACAGAGCAGCAAUGGGCUUGGCAGUGAGCCACCCUUAAGUAGCUGCACCAGCAGAAAAUAUUCAUGAGAGGCUGGUUUGUGGUAACCAGAACUGACGGGGUUACAAACACAUGAGUGACAAGCCCUGGCAUCACUGUGACAAAAGUGAAUGCUUUUCUGAGAGGUGCCAGAGGUCUUCUUUUAUGCAGGAAAGGGUAAGAGUCAGAGCAAUCUGAGUCACUCCCACUAGAGAAUGCUUGGUACCCAUAGGCUGGUGAGACUUGGGGAAAUGGAGGUUGUACGGUCACUUCAUAUAUGGAUGACCCACUAAAUGCCAUUCAUUAAAGCUGGGUUCUGUGGGUUGUAUGUAGUGUCUAAGGCACUGCCUGGCUCAGGAAUGUCUCAAUAAAUAUUCCGUGAAUGAAUGAAGGAAUGAAUGAAAGUAUUAAGAUGAUAAAGCACGAUCACUAGACUAGUGGUUCUCAAAGUGUGGCGGUGGCCCAGCAGCAUCAGUUUGACCUGGGAAUUUGUGACAAAUGCAGAUCUUUGAAUCCCAUCCCAGACCUAGUGAAUCAGAAACUCUGGAGGAGAGGCUUUGUAAUCUAUGUUGUAACAGUCCCUCCAGGUAAUCUGAUGCUAACUUUGAGAACCAUGGUCCUAGUUGAGAAACCCAAAAAAGAAUGGGGCAGGCCAGGAAGAAGAUAGGAAAGUGCCAAAAGAGGAAAGAUAGAAUAAAGUAAAAAGCUGUAAGAAGAUUCAAAACAAAAUUUGCAAUUUACAUAAAGUUGUUUUGGACCUUUUCCUUCUUUAUGAGAGUUCCAUUUCUUCCUGUACAUUUCAUCCAUUGGAUUGGGAAAGACAAACUAUGUUAAUGUCACAUACUGUGCCCAGCCAGCCGCCCUCACCUACUCAGAUUCUAAUCCCUUUCUCACUGCAAGAUCAUGGCAUGUAGACAGUGGACAAAGGAGAAAUUGGAGAGACUACAAUUCACAGCCCAUAGAAUGAAAGCCAGGAGCACUGGGGGCUGAGCGUGGCGGGAUUAAAGAAAAUUGCAGAAAGAAAUCAAAUCCCCUACAGGCCACCACCCGUUCUGCAGCCAUAAAGAUGCCCUGUAUAGUAAAAUCACAGUUUUCCAAAAGGCUGUCAUCAGGUUCCCAUGAGCACAUAUGUGUAGCAUAGCCCAAAAUUAUAAGCCAAAAGGCUUUGGUGAGAAGCCUGGAAGGGGUUCUGAAAUUAAAACGAUGAACACAUACAAAGCCAUAUAACACACAGAAGAAAAUUAAAUAUUUUGUAAGAAUGAACAUGUUGUUUCUCUAAAUAUAACACACCCAAUUACUUUCCCACAGGAAAUCACCAACGCUUUGGUUAAGAAUGCACAUUAUUUUGCAGUUCUUUGGGGAGCAAAGACAACCUUGACUGAGGACACAGCAAGAAGACAGCCAUCUACAAAUCAGGGAGAGGGCUCUCAACAGAACCCAACCACGCUGGCACUCUGAUUUCAGACUUCUCAGCUCCAGAACUUUUCCUGAUGGUUAUUGCUGAGGGUGUCUUGCAAUCACAAUAAGAACUACAAGGGCCAGUCCAGCCACAACAUUGGUUAUCGAUCGGCUGAGACCCGCACAAAACACCAACCAAGCAGAUUAAUAAAGGAGCCUUCAGAGUAUAAGAGAAAAACCAGGAGAACGUGGUGUUCUGGAAGCCAUAUGAGUGAAAAACAUCAAAGAGAAGGGAAAAAUCAACUGUGACAGAUGCUGCUGAAGGGUCACAUAAAUAACGACAGAGAAUUAACUGUUGGAUUUAGCAAUGUGGCUGCCAUUGGUGAUUUUGACAGUUUCCAUGGAUUGAUGGGAGCAAAAGGCAAGAGUUAUACUUUAGCCAUGAAUGCCAGCAGGAAAGACAGAAAUUAAGUGGGACACUGUCCUGGAAACUAGAGGAUGCAUGGACAUAGCACCUUAGGACUCUGACUCUUCCGUGUUCAUAACGUUCCAUAAACCAUACCCCUUCCUCUAUACACAGGGACACCUGAGGGAGAUAUUCGAGGAUUGGGGGAUUGAUAAACUGAGCACUAUUUAUGGUUUUUAUUUUGCCAAGAAAGGCUGAGUAUUAAAACUUCUGUUUAAAUGAACAAAUCAGACUAAGUUUUAAAUCAAAGUUAAUGUUUUUGCUUCUUAUCAGCAGGUGGGGAGAAAGACCAAAUCUUCUAAAAACAAAACUAAAGUAACUAUAUUUUAUCCUCAUAUUGGAUUUGUCGCCUGUGUUAAGUGUUGACUCUUACUGGGUCCAAUUUUCAUUACAAUUUUUUUCCAGAUUUAUUGAGGUAUAAUUGAGAAAUAAAAAUUGUACAUAUGUAAGGUGUACGUGAUGAUUUGA